ensembl:lncRNA
CUGCUCCCAUAGACGUCUAUGAGGAAAUUACUCUACUUCUCUGUAGUGACCAGCAGGGGGCGACUCCUCUGCUCCCAUAGACGUCUAUGAGGAAAUGACUCUACUUCUCUCUUUAUUUAUUCCCUCAGUAAACAUUAUAAACAUGAGUUCAUGGUCUCAGUCUCUAGUUUCCAGUCGUCUUCAUCCAGCAUGAUGUUCAUUUAGUGACUGAUGGUCCAUUUAGAGUCAAACAGGCCAUAAAGCAGGGGACGCUUUAGGGUGGGGCUACACGUUGAUUGACAGAUAGCAGAGACGUAUACAGCGUCUCUACGUCCUCAUCGGUCCAUAUGUGGUCACUUCCUGUUCAUCAGUCCACAAACCGAGUGAGGUCACCAUGACUACGUCCACCUCCAUCUAGAGUCUUGUUUUGUGUCCCAGACAAAAAUAAACUGACGCACUAAUUCGUCCCAAAAGCAACACAUCCAGAUCUAUUUUACUCCUCGUCGUAGCCUCAUCUAUCCUUUCUCUCACACACACACACACACACACACACACACACACACACACACACACACACACACACACACACACACACACACUCCCUGCAUUGAGCUCACCUGUCGAGGGGUAAGGCGAUAGAAGCUCCGCCCCCUGCGUGUCUCUGUUGUCUUGUCAAAGCUCACUAAUUCUUGAUCUUCCUCUUCUUCUGUUUUGUUUGUUGUGUGUGUGUGUGUGUGUCCUUCUUUGCUUAGCAAAUGGAAACUCUAGCAGUAAGUGGUUCUCAUGUUAUAGACUCAUAAUGACAUUUAGACAAAACGCUGACCAUCUCAUCGCUGUCACACCUGCACUGUUGGCAACACCCCCCCCCCCCCCCCACAACUCCCCCUCCUCUGCAUCUCUGCCUUGAUUGGUCAUGUAACAAAGCCCCUCCCCCCCCCCCCCCCCCCCCCGUGUGGUGCUUUCGUUCCUCCUGCUGCUGCUGUCAGUGAUGCAGCGGCGUUGCUCUGGACCCUGAUGGUCUGCAGAGGGAUGAAGACGUGGUUCUGUCUCAGUGACUGCGUUUACACGGACACUCGGUGUCACGUGACCGGCCAAAGCCCAGAUAUGAACCAGUCUGGUCCUGGUCCCCUCUAGACCUCCACCAGAUCGCCACAGGGACUCUUAAGGCUGCAUGUGCCUGUAGACGUGGUCACCGGUCAGGAUCGAGACCCCCGUCCUUCUGCAUGUUUGGUUCCAUCUCCAGCCUGUUCGAAUCACGUUCUCCUGGAUCAGCGUGUGACCUCUGACCUCCCAGCAAUCACCUCCGGGUCACUCGCUCCCAGGGAUGACUAAUCCUACUAGUGGUAGACUCGACCAGACGGCCCCCACAUUUUAACCCGCUCAUCUCGUCCCACGUCUCUAACCCAGGACCCCCGUCCCCCCCUACUCACUGGAUCAUCAAGUCCUUCCCUCACGUGACCCCCCCCCCCCCUUGUGUUUGUGCCUGCAGGAGCUGGAGUUGUGCCGGCGGCUCUACAAGCUGCACUUCCAGCUGCUGCUGCUCUUCCAGGCCUACUGCAAGCUGAUCAGCAGGGUGGACACCAUGAAGAGGGAGGCGGAGGUGACCAACAUGUCCGAGGAGCUCACCGUCCUCGAGAGCUGUCUGAAGGACGCGGAGACGGGAAGUGACGGCCCGGAGGACGUGUGCAUGACGGAGUCGCCUCAGACCAACACCGAGACGGCCAUCCAGUCCCUCAUCGAGACGCUGAGAGCCAGAGACUUUGGCUCCGCCCUCUCCCAGGUCAAAGUCUUCAGGUGAGCGCCCACCUGACCAAAGGCAGUUCAGUAAGUCCGAAGUAAUCCUCGCCCGCACGUCGGACCCCAAUUCAGUGUUCCACUCAUUCGACCUCUGCAGGUCCCUGUGGCCCAGCGACAUCUUCGGCAGCGAGGCGGACGACGCCGUGCAGACCCUCCUGCACAUCUACUUCCGCCACCAGACGCUGGGCCAGACGGGCUGCCUCGCCGUGGUCGGGCCGAGCCGGGACCUCAGCCCGGCCAGCGCCCGCCUCACCGAGCUCAACCUGCAGAUCCGCGAGGCGCUGGGCCGGGCGCAGGCCGUCCAGGCCCUCGGGGUCAGCACCGGACUGUGACACCCCCCCCCCCCCCCCCCCCAUCGCUCUACACAGACCUCACCUCAGCUGUAGAGAGACUCCACCUAUAAAGGGCUAACGGAUGAGUGGGAAUAACUGACUCCUUAUUUAUACAUCUACAUGCUAUAGAUCUAUAGAUGUCCAUAUCUAUAGAUCUAUGUGCAUAUAGAUGUGUUGCGCGUAUGAAUGCUUCGGGCUGACGUCUUUUCCCGGACGAAGCCGACCUGCAGAAUUCAGUUGCAAUAAAGUCGUGUGGUGUUUUUUUUUUUUUUCUGGGAAGAAAAGCGCUGACUUCUGUUUAGCUUCAGGGUUUCUUUGCCGGAUGGAACCUGACGGCUCCUCCUCCAGAGGGGGGGGGCGCCGGGGGGGUCAUGGGAGCAUGGGGAGCGUGUGUGCGUGUGUGCGCGUGUGUGUGUGUGUGUGUGAUGACACGCCGGCAAGAUUCAUACGCAGAACACGGGAGAGAGAAUAAAACACCUUGUUUAAAACGUUUUCAAACGCAUGCUUGAAAGAGGAAAAAAAAAAAGCACUGCGAGAAUAUUUUCUUGAGAAAUGUAUUUUUUAUUAGAGCUAACAUCCUAGGUUGUAAAAUGUUAGGAUAUUUAACAUUGUAGCCCUGUGGGAGACGUUCUGCCUUUCAGGGAGUGUAAAAAGAGAAAUCUAUAUAUAUAUAUCGGUUUAUUGAUCUGCUCUGAGAGGAUCGGUCUCCGCUUUAACCAAAUAAGUAGCUUUCUUUAGAGACUCUACGUGCAUAUCGACCUUAUGGAAACAUAACUUAUUUUACUCUGUAUAUAUUUUAGAGAAAGUGUAAAACCAGUAUUUUUCUCCCCUUGUGAUGCACUGUUGAUCCGGCAGGAAGUGACGAGUGUUCAUCCGCCCCUCAGGCGAUUGUUUGGGGGGUCUGAUGACGCCCCCCCGCCUCCCGCUCUGAUCCAAACCAGUCAUAUGCAUUCCUUCUCCUCCACUGUGAUCGGCCCGCCGAAACCCUCUGACUUCUUUUUUUUUAAUCACGUUGCUAAGCAACCCCCCCUCAUCCUGUUACGUUUUAUUUUUCCUGGAGGGAGAAACAGUCGAAGCUGCGCUUUGCUGGGAGAUCCGGUCUCGGCACAUUGUAACACGUCACUGUACUCAUUCCUCCUGCUUGUCUGGUACAUUUGAAUGCUGUUAUUUAAUUAUUUUCCUGGAAGAUGUUUUAAUGUGGAGGUGCAUUAUACCUUUUUUUUCUUUACUCACAUACCAGCCUUCUCUCUGGAUAAAUAAACUAAUCAUACAGCUGUGGA